rnacentral:rRNA from 1 species
GCCCGCGGCGCAUUAGCUAGUUGGUGAGGUAACGGCUCACCAAGGCAACGAUGCGUAGCCGACCUGAGAGGGUGAUCGGCCACACUGGGACUGAGACACGGCCCAGACUCCUACGGGAGGCAGCAGUAGGGAAUCUUCCGCAAUGGACGAAAGUCUGACGGAGCAACGCCGCGUGAACGAUGAAGGUCUUCGGAUCGUAAAGUUCUGUUGUCAGGGAAGAACAAAGUACCGUGCGAAUAGAGCGGUACCUUGACGGUACCUGACGAGGAAGCCCCGGCUAACUACGUGCCAGCAGCCGCGGUAAUACGUAGGGGGCAAGCGUUGUCCGGAAUUAUUGGGCGUAAAGCGCGCGCAGGCGGUUCCUUAAGUCUGAUGUGAAAGCCCACGGCUCAACCGUGGAGGGUCAUUGGAAACUGGGGAACUUGAGGACAGAAGAGGAGAGUGGAAUUCCACGUGUAGCGGUGAAAUGCGUAGAUAUGUGGGGGAACACCAGUGGCGAAGGCGACUCUCUGUCUGUUUCUGACGCUGAGGUGCGAAAGCGUGGGUAGCAAACAGGAUUAGAUACCCUG